GGGGAAUAUUGGACAAUGGGGGCAAGCCUGAUGCAGCAACGCCGCGUGAGGGAUGACGGCCUUCGGGUUGUAAACCUCUUUUAGCAGGGAAGAAGCGUAAGUGACGGUACCUGCAGAAAAAGCACCGGCUAACUACGUGCCAGCAGCCGCGGUAAUACGUAGGGUGCAAGCGUUGUCCGGAAUUAUUGGGCGUAAAGAGCUCGUAGGCGGCUUGUCGCGUCUGCUGUGAAAACCCGGAGCUCAACUCCGGGCCUGCAGUGGGUACGGGCAGGCUAGAGUGCGGUAGGGGAGAUUGGAAUUCCUGGUGUAGCGGUGGAAUGCGCAGAUAUCAGGAGGAACACCGAUGGCGAAGGCAGAUCUCUGGGCCGCUACUGACGCUGAGGAGCGAAAGCAUGGGGAGCGAAC
rnacentral:rRNA from 1 species